rnacentral:lncRNA from 1 species
UUUUAUUCUUAAACAAUGAGGGGAAUAUGUCAAGUUUCAGAACUGUGCCAGCAUGAAGAUGCCUUAAUUGAGUCAAGGUAUCACGUGUCACACAUUAAUGUAUUUCCUCUUCAUUUUGGAAUUGGCGAGUCCUAUACAGCAUGCAUCCCCAUUUCCAUUUUUGCCUUUUCUUCUCUCUUUUAUUUAAUUAAUUAAUUAAUUUAUUUUUUGUAAAUCUUAUUUCUUAUGCAAUUUUCGUGAUGAUUGGGGAUUUCUUUUUGUAGGAUCACAAGGACAGGAGAAUACAAGUAUUAACAUUGGAGUUGGAACAUCAGGAUAAGUUAUGUGCUCUUUACCGAGAGCAGCUAAUUACACUAUUGAAAAAUGUUGAGGAGCAAACAGAACUUCUCUCGUCAAAAAUCCAAGAAGUUGUUGGCAAUGUAAGAGAAUUUGAAACUGAAGUACAAAAGUCAUCAAACUGUUUAUAGCCCAUGUAAAGUUUCGGCAUGUACAAAAAUUAUUUCUGGUAAUGCCAUUUCAUUUUAGGUCAUAAUUUUCAUUAUGCAACCCAUUAAUUUUUUAAAGAUUAAAAUAUUGCUAAUGAAUCUUUGUAGGCAUUGUUAUUCUCCAGAAUUCUUGUGUGUUAGACCUUUUUGCCCCCUGUGAAGUGCACUGGCUGUUGUAUUAGGCAAUUAAGUUCUGCUAGUUGAGAUGUACCAGGCAUGAAGCAGCAGAAGUUACAGAGGUGAACUUUUUGUUGUAAAGUUGGCGAAAUUUACAAUGGUGGACAGUUCAUUUGUUCUUGAUAACAAUUGAUUCACAAAAAUUAUCUUUAGGAUUUUAAUUAUUUUAUGUAAAUGAUCCAGUGGAAAAAGAAUUUUCAAUGCAUUCAAAUUCCAUACAUUUUCCCUCUUCUGUAUAAAUGACAGACUGGAAAUAGGGUUGAAAUAUUCCAGAUGAGAUCAUGUUACUUUCUAAUUUAAUUGCUGUGAGCCUGUGAAUAUUCUCUCAAGUCAUUUCUUUCCCGUUGAUGGAAUUUUUGUUGCAUCA